GAGUUUGUGAUCCACAGUGGUUUUUUCUUUGACAAUAACUCACAUGACAGAGUGAAAAUAAAGCUUGGAGUGAGUAAAAGUGACAGACUCUACGCCAUGAAGGCUGAGGUCUUGGCGCGUGCCGGCAUCCCCACUUCCAGCGUUUUUGCGUUGCAUUUUACGGAGCCGCCCAUCUCUGCUCAGCUUCUGGCUUUUCUCCGAGUAUUCUGCAUGACUGAAGAAGAAUUGAAAGAACACUUGCUGGGAGACAAUGCUAUUGAUAGAAUCUUCACCUUGGGGAACUCUGAAUUUCCUGUUAGCUGGGACAAUGAGG